AAUUGUUAUAAACAACUGAGUCAAAUUAUUUUGACAUUUCUCUCAAACUACUUAUUUCAAAUUUUAAUAGCGUACUCAUAAAUAUAUUUUUCCAUUAUGUCUUUUGCUAAAAAUUUGUGUAGGACCUGCGGACAACUUUCUGAAGUGUGUCACGAUAUUUACAGGCCUGAUAAUAACGGAAAUACCAUUCAGUACAAAUUACUGAUGUGUUUGAAUUUGGAAGUUAACAAGCGAGACGGGCUUCCAAGGCAAAUUUGUAACAACUGUUUAGUCAACCUAAAUGAGUAUAUGGACUUUUUGGCAAUUGUACAUUCGGCAAAUGAAAUGUAUACAAAAAUAUCAUCCACGAAAUAAAUGUAAGACAACUUUCUGGCUCAACUUAUUACAUGCUACAUGUUUGGGAUCAAAAAUUCAAUAUGUGGUGAACAAUCGACUAAUAACAUUGCUUCAUUAUAUACAUUUUUGUGUACGGCCUUAAUAAAAAGUUAGUAAAAUAAUAA